ensembl:lncRNA
GUUGAGGUCCUGACCCGAGUGUUAUUAGAGAAAAAGGAUGGUCCUAAGGCCUCCGGGGUAAGGAAGAAGAGGCCUCUUGGCCUUGGGAAAACCUUCCUAGAGACAGCUGGGUUGACUGGGGCCCUAUUCCCUCUUCUGCACCCCCUAUGUUCCAUCUUUCUAAAUGAUUCUGCUAUGGACUCAUCUUCCUGGAAGCCCUCCAGGCCAGAAGCAGAAGCUUUCAGCUCAGAUCACUGUUGACUAGAGAUCCAAUCCUGGGCUUGCAAGUCCAAGGUAGGUCUUAGCCAGGCAAGCAAGAAGUGACCUUUUAUAAAACCUUCAUCUCCUGCCUCCUGCCUCAUACUCAACUCUCUGUCUCCUAAUAGUAAUGGUUAUAGAAAGUGAAUUUUUGACCAAACAUGCCUGGCUCCUUUUCCUGCUCAAUUGGCUUAUUCUAUCAUUGGAAUCAGCUAGGUAGAGUAGUAUAGAGAGCACCAGUUUUGGAGAUAGGACAACCCGAGUUCAAAAUUGGCCUUAGACACUAGCUAAAAGUGACCCUGGAUAAGUCACUUCACCCUGUUUGCCUCAAUUUCCUCAUCUGUCAAAUGAACUAGAGAAGGGAAUGGCAAACCAUUCUAGCAUCUUUGCCAAGAACUCCCCAAAUGUGGUCAGGAAGAGUCAGACACUGAACAACAACAUCAGUUGGCUAGGCUAAUGCCUUUUUCAUUCCCUAAAAAUAUGACUUUUUCUAUCUAUGUGCCUUACUCUAAUUUUAUUCAACAAUGCUUUAGAAACUGGCCUGCAUAAUCUUCCCAAUCUUCCACCAGAUCCGGGUCAUCUUGUUCAACAGGAGAGACUAUCUCUGUCAUUUGUGGAAAGGGAGCCAUAUCACCUAUUGAUGGGCUGUGUCAUACUGUCUGUAACUGUGCUGGAUUAUUCCUCUAUUGACUACCAACUACCUAGGAAAUGGGUCUCACAUGUGGUGGUGAUGUUUGCCAAGAAUGAUUGCAAAUGGGAUUGCAUCCAAACUGGUCAACCCAGAAGAGCGGGAAGCUGGCCUGAGACUGGCAAAAUAAAAAGGACAAGAUCCUCCAAUGAUUUGAAGAAAGGAUUGAAAGUGCAAUGGAGAACAGCUGUGUCAUGCUGUGGCUAGAACAUGCUCAGCACAGGGUUUGGGCUAUUCAGAACUGUUAUCAACCUAUGUUAAAGUAAGAGAUAGAGAUCUUCUGGACCAGCCUCUCCCCCUCCUAUGGAUAUACUCAGAGCUCCUGGCUUCCAGAACACCAUCGUUUCCCAUCCUCUGUGAUGUAUAAUGCUCCUUAUGUUCUUGUGUACAAGCCUGUGAAAAGCCUCAGAGAUCCACUGGCCAAAUGCUGAGGGACAAAUAUGAGAGUUCCUUCCUUGGACUCAAAGAUGGAGGUCCAUUUCCCCACUUUGAUCAGUUGUUUUUACUUCUUCCUUCUGGAAUUAAUUAAGAAUCAUCCUGCCUUAUUCUAUCUUCAUUAUUCCCUCAAAUGAUAUAAUAAGAUGUUCCCUCAAGCAGAGGGAUUCUUGUGUGCAGUCUUAGAUCCAGCAGUUUGGAGACCAGCAGAAUUGAUUAAGCUUAGCAUUGGAGAUUGGAUUAGACAGAAGUCUUACUACCUUAUCAACAAAAUGUAAAAUAAAUAAUUUUGACUACAUCA